CUCAGGACGAACGCUGGCGGCAAGCCUAACACAUGCAAGUCGAACGGACAAUUGCAUAUAGCUUCGGCUAUAAGUAAUUGUUAGUGGCAGACGGGUGAGUAAUGCGUAGGAAUCUACCUAGUAGUAUGGAAUAGCCAUUAGAAAUGAUGGGUAAUACUGUAUAAUCCCUGCGGGGGAAAGAUUUAUCGCUAUUAGAUGAGCCUACGUUAGAUUAGCUAGUUGGUGAGGUAAUGGCUUACCAAGGCUAUGAUCUAUAGCUGGUCUGAGAGGACGAUCAGCCACACUGGAACUGAGAUACGGUCCAGACUCCUACGGGAGGCAGCAGUGGGGAAUAUUGGACAAUGGGCGAAAGCCUGAUCCAGCUAUGCCGCGUGAGUGAAGAAGGCCUUCGGGUUGUAAAGCUCUUUCAAUAGGGAAGAUAAUGACGGUACCUAUAGAAGAAGUCCCGGCAAACUCCGUGCCAGCAGCCGCGGUAAUACGGAGGGGGCAAGCGUUGUUCGGAAUUAUUGGGCGUAAAGGGCACGUAGGUGGACUAGUAAGUUAAAAGUGAAAUACCAAAGCUCAACUUUGGAGCUGCUUUUAAUACUGCUAGACUAGAG
rnacentral:rRNA from 1 species